ensembl:lncRNA
GGAAUCAGUUGACCUUUUCAACAUAUUUUCCUAUUUUUCAUGGAAACCGAUCUUCAAGACCCUGCGUGCCGCUCCAGGUUUUCAAGUAGGCUAUUGCACCUCCAGGAGGCGUGCUAGGAAUUUUCUGGAUCCUGCGAUUGUCCACAAAUGGAAGACUGAUGACUGAUGAGAGUCUUUUCCAGAAGUUACCCCAGGGUGGAAAGAUUGCAAUUUGCAGAGAUAUGCUGGCAGAUUCCCUAGUUUAGCAUGAUGAGACCGCCAUAUGAAUCUGGAAAAAAGGAAUAAAGACAGCGAGGAUGCAGGGAGGUCAGCAAGGCUACAGUUGAAGAUCAAGAGGAUCUCGAGGGGGCAUGUAGACCGGUGUGCCCGCCCAGCCCUUUAGAUGGACGGAGUUCAUCAGCACCUUCCGACUGUAGCCCAGGUCGGCCAGCUUCACCGGACCGGGAAACAAAGGUUUUCCGGUAUGAUGUCCCGAUGGAUGAUCUGUUUGUAGAUGGAAUUAGUUUAGACAAGGUUUACAAACGAUGUGUCGGAGCCUUUCAGACUGUUUUAUGUCUGUCUUUCUAUAUUGUAUAAUAAUAAUAUUUUCUAUAUUGUAUAAUUGUAUAAUAAUGUAUUGAGGGGCUCCUUUAAAUGUCCAAAAUCUGUUUCUUUACAUCCUUUCAG